rnacentral:rRNA from 1 species
AGAUUUGAUCAUGGCUCAGGACGAACGCUGGCGGCGUGCUUAACACAUGCAAGUCGAGCGGAAAGGCCCUUCGGGGUACUCGAGCGGCGAACGGGUGAGUAACACGUGAGCAAUCUGCCCCUAGCUCUGGGAUAGCUCCGGGAAACCGGAAUUAAUACCUGAUAUGACCAAGGCCGACAUCGGCCCUGGUGGAAAGCUUU